UUAACUUUUUAGUAUAAGUUGUUAGUUUUUGAUUUUUUUAAUAAUUUUUUAACUUUUAAGCUAAAAAGUAAUGUUGUCAAAUGAGUGUUAAAUAACUCACACAACUGUUUAAGAAAAGAAAAGAAAAAAACAUUGGCACAUUCAACAGUGGCCCAAUUUGCUUGCUCGCUAAGGAAUCAUUUUUUUCCAAAUUUUGUUUUUUUUGGGAGACUUUGAUAGUCAAUUCCUAGACAACUUUUUCUCACUGUUGUGGAAGAAUGUCUCUUUUCUCCAUCUCAAAUAGUAUAAUGCCUACACAAAAUGUGUAUAUACACUACAUUUGCCUCUCUCCUAUAAAUUUGGUACGUUCUGUGAGCUCCUUCAGGUUUUGCUUGUCUGAUAAUAGGAGCUCUGCAUCUUCUUAUUUUGGUGAAGAAGAAGAAGAAGAAGAAGAUCAAAUUGCAAUCACAUCUCCCUUAAAUACUUUUUGCUCAUGCCAGUAGACAAAUUGAUUGCAUUUCUUUUAACCUGUUUUCUGUUUUUUAUGUAUUAUGAGGCUUAUCUGUUGAAAGUGUCCUCCUAGAGGGGACUGAAUGGGACUAAACAAAAUUUUCUUACUUUAUCCUAUCUCCUUUUUUCUUAUUCA